rnacentral:piRNA from 1 species
UGAACGUCUGCUGUCGCCAUCCUGAUGUUC